UGCAUGCUUUUACAGUAUGAAAAUUGGUGAUUUAUAAUAACUUAGCAAAUCGCAUAGUGAAAACAGGCGAUAAAUCAUUCAAGUUUCUGACCUAUCAGCUUUCGACGGUAUGGUAUUGGCUUACCGUGGCAGUGACGGUUAACGGGGGAUUAGGGUUCGAUUCCGGAGAGGGAGCCUGAGAAACGGCUACCACAUCUAAGGAAGGCAGCAGGCGCGCAAAUUACCCAAUUCUAACAGUUUGAGAGAGGUAGUAACAAGAAAUAACAAUACAAGGCAGUUAAAAUGCUUUGUAAUUGGAAUGAUAGAAAUUUAAACCCUUUUUAAAGUAUCAAUUGGAGGGCAAGUCUGGUGCCAGCAGCCGCGGUAAUUCCAGCUCCAAUAGCGUAUAUUAAAAUUGUUGCAGUUAAAAAGCUCGUAGUUGAAGUUCUGCUAAAAGUAACCGGUCUGCUUUGAAUAAAAGUGGUAUCUUGGUAUGUAUUUAGCAAUGAUGUCCUUUGAAGUGUUUUUUACUUUAUUGUAAUAAAGCAUAUUCAGGACUUUUACUUUGAGAAAAUUAGAGUGUUUCUAGCAGGCCAACGCUUUGAAUACUGCAG
rnacentral:rRNA from 1 species